CGCGAUAGAAACGGCAGGUCUCUUCGUGCGCUCCGCUCAGUGAGCGACUGCAGCUGGAGGAGAGACAAUAACAGCGACGCGUGCACAGUAUCCUCAUUUGGACUUGCUAUGGACCAGCAGCACGAUUUAUUGAGCUCCUCGCCCAAUAGCCACACGGCUCACUACAACUCUAGCGAUACCAUGGCAACCUCCCUUUCUGGAAUGACCAUCAACGAUCAUCACCAUGGCAACCAGUUCCAUAAGGAGAAUGGAAUUGCGGUGGGGCUUGUGAGACCAGGGGACUGUCCAAUGAAAGUGCGUGGCUUAUAUUUCCCUAGUUUACAGCCUUCACUAGUGCACACUUUCUCCCCUUUUGCUCUUCCUGUAAUUCCACACACAAGGAGGAAACACUGCUCAGAGCAUCUGCCACCAAUAAAUGGCAGAUACUGCAAUGGAACAGCAGAGAAAGAGUUUUCAGAAGAAAGGGUGGAUGUUGAGCUCAGUAGUGCUGAAGGCACCUCCUCUGCUGAGGAGAAGCAGUGUGAAAGCCCCCAAGAUUCAAGACAGGAAGAGAAAGAAGAUCAGUCCCAGCCUGCCGUGGAAGUGGCGAGCGCUGGAGGAACGGCACCCGCAGCUCAGUCCAAGACCAAUGGUGAUGCAGAGAAGAGGGCUAGCGUUAGACCUCAUGCUGCCGGUUCAAAGAUUCCUGCCAUGACUGCAGUUGCCAAAAAUGGAAAAGACUCUCCUAAGACCCCGGAGACCAGUGGGCACAGCAGCCCCGGCACUCCCAAAUCCCCUGCCAGCAAGGCUGCGGGUGGCAAGCCUCCAAGCACAGGAAAUGAAAUCAAGAAGGUCGCAGUGAUUCGCUCGACCCCUAAAUCUCCAAAGAACCGUUCACCCACAUCACUGUCGGCCGCUGCCCCCCUCCCUGAUCUGAAGAGCAUACGCUCCAAAGUCGGCUCCACUGACAACUUGAAGCACCAGCCCGGAGGCGGCCGGGUACAAAUUCUUGAUCAGAAGGUGGAUUUCAGUAAUGUUCCGUCUAAGUGUGGCUCCAAAGCCAACCUCAGGCAUGUACCAGGAGGUGGAAAUGUGCAAAUCCUCCACAAAAAGAUUGACCUGACCAAUGUGCAGUCAAAGUGUGGAUCGAAAGUCAACAUUCGCCACAAACCAGGUGGAGGAAACAUUGAGAUCAGGUCUGAGAAGCUUGAAUUCAGGGCUCAGUCAAAGGUGGGAUCUAUGGACAACAUUAAACACACACCUGGAGGAGGCAACAGGAGGAUUGAGUCGCAAAAACUGAUGUUCCGUGAGCAGGCCAAAGCGCGAACCGACCAUGGCGCAGAAAUCGUGUCUCUAGAGGAGUCACCACAUGGCCUGAGCACCGUCUCGUCUUCUGGCAGCAUCAACAUGGCAGACCCGCCACAGCUUUCCACCCUCGCUGACCAGGUGUCUGCAUCGCUGGCCCAGCAGGGCUUGUGAUUGGACCAUACCGCCCCCUCCCAUCCACAUACCUGAUGGUAUUCUAACCUCUCUCUGAAAGUCAUUUUGUGGCCCAGAAAACAACGCCAAGUAACGUUUAGCAGUCACUGUUUGACUUCUUGUUAUGUAUGAAUUUGCCUGUUCACUCGCCCUUCGCUUUAAGGCAGUGCCCACUUUGGGAAUUUAACAAUUGGAAAUUUCCUCCAGCUGCCCUCCCUUGACUAUAUUUAGUAGCACAAAAUUACUUUCAUGUAUUUGUAUGGCUUUUAUUGACCAUUAUAUAUUUCCUUACGCAUACCAUUUUCUUGGUUACCACUGGAUUGAGGACAGUUCAUACCGAACCCAUUUUCACUUUCAGAGAGGAUUGUUCUCAUUUUGAAAUCAGGUUAAAUUUAGAUUGAGAUUAUGAAUAAGAUGCUUAGCAGUGCUUAAAAUGAAAAUUAGAGCAUGGUAUCUUGACUUUGAGAAAGAAAGAAACUUAAAGCCCCACAGUUCACGUUUGAAAUGAUUUGCAAGGCUUAUGUGAAGAAAGACAGGUGCAUAACAGCUUUGUGCAGAAAGGUGAAAGCCGUUUAGUUCUUUUCAAUCUCUCGAAUGUGCUGUCGAUCAGAGAUUACACUUCACGUCUACAAUGACCAUGACAUUCAGAGUGCUUCAUAAGGAAACGUUCCCUACAGUAUUAUUCUGUGGAUGAAUAUGGGAUGUUUAUGAUAUGAAAACACUUUUUUUUGUGUCUUAAAAUGUAGAUUUGAAUUAUGUCAGUGCUUUUUUUGUUUGCUUGUUCUUUAACUUGACAAUUAACAGAGCACUGCAGCUGCAUUUUUAUUUUUUAACAUAAACAUAAAAUAAUCUUAAAAUUGCAGCUACGCGUUUGAACCAAGAUGGACGUCUGCUGUUUUGGACAGUUUGAUUGGUGACACUACAAUGAGGUUCAAUUUGUUCGCUUUAGGCAUCAUGAAAUAACAAAUAAUACUUUUACAUCAUUUAUUAAUCUCGAUAAAUGUUCUUUUCUACAUAUACUAAUGCAUUUUAACAUUUAUUUACGAACUAAUAAAUUGACCAGGAUUAAAAAUUGCUGUAAAAAUGGCAUUUUUGUUUUUUUUUGGUUUAAAAUACAUUGACUAAUAUUAUUGUAAAGUGUUAUUGUUUUAUUAAUGAUAAGCUACAUGUGAGAAAUCUGGACAUUAUUUGAAAUAUCUUGUGGAAAAAAACAACCUAUGCACCUGUAAACUUUCUCCAUAAUACUGCCAACAGUUCCUCUCAUUCUCAACAUCUAGCUCUAGUUGAGAAAGAAUUUAUGAGAUGAAUUGCAAAACUGUUCUUCUUCAGGCACACAUUGUAUUAUAAAUUUGCCUACUACAUUUACAAUAUUGAGUAUUGCAUUCUUCACGAAAAGCGUCACUCGAGCACAAGCAUGCUGUUAAACUUUGAUCUGACCACAUCAUCCGCUUCCACUUUAUAGCUGUAAAAUGUUAAGUCAAGGUAUUCUAUUUUACUGAAUGAAUGAUGUAAUGACCUCAGCCAAUCAUAUGGCUUAAAUUCUUUCCCCAGCACUGCACUAUCGCAGAAUGUUUACUAAGCUUUGAACCACUUCACACUCUCUUUGCUCCUUGCAUGCAUUUCAUGUAAGCAGCCCGAGAUACUGCGUUGCCUCUUUCACGCUUACUUGCGUAUAUCCCGUAAUCGCUGAUGUGCUUAUUAGGAAUCUUUGUAGAUAGUAGUGAAAAAGAGCACUACUCAGAUGGCAACCCCUGUUUCUUUGUGUUGGAGAUGGAGCCGUGUAUCUACCAUUAGAUAUUUAAUGUAUGUUUAUUGUAUGUUUAUGACUGUAUGUUUAUAUGAGGACUUGAAGAGAUUAAAAAAAAAUAAGCAGUGAAGUUCAGAAACCAUGCCUGCAACAUUUUAAUCUGCAUGCUGAGUUUUUACAUGGAUUAGCAACAUGUUUCUGAACGUUUUCUGACUAGGGUGUUUUUGGGAAGGUUGGGAGAGCUUGGAUAUGGGAUAAGCUGUUUGUUAUGGUUGUAAUGUUGUGUUGAGGGGGGAAGUGAGCAUUUAGCAGACAAGAAGAGGGAAAGAAAGUCAGUCGGUCCUUUGGUUUAAACGUCUCUCUCUGUAGCACACCUGCAACAUAGUUCUGGGUGCCAUCCUGUUUUCAUUGACUCCAUACACCAUUUUUGCAGUUGUAAAUUUUAGCUUGGGAACUGUGGUUGUCAAUAUUGUUUGUGUUUUAUUAUUAACUGGUUUUCAAUGAUUCUUGUUGAUGUACACGUGAAUUUGGAAAUAAAGGAUAUUAACCAAU